rnacentral:rRNA from 1 species
GAUGAACGCUGGCGGCGUGCCUAAUACAUGCAAGUCGAGCGAACAGACGAGGAGCUUGCUCCUCUGACGUUAGCGGCGGACGGGUGAGUAACACGUGGAUAACCUACCUAUAAGACUGGGAUAACUUCGGGAAACCGGAGCUAAUACCGGAUAAUAUAUUGAACCGCAUGGUUCAAUAGUGAAAGACGGUUUUGCUGUCACUUAUAGAUGGAUCCGCGCCGCAUUAGCUAGUUGGUAAGGUAACGGCUUACCAAGGCAACGAUGCGUAGCCGACCUGAGAGGGUGAUCGGCCACACUGGAACUGAGACACGGUCCAGACUCCUACGGGAGGCAGCAGUAGGGAAUCUUCCGCAAUGGGCGAAAGCCUGACGGAGCAACGCCGCGUGAGUGAUGAAGGUCUUCGGAUCGUAAAACUCUGUUAUUAGGGAAGAACAAAUGUAUAAGUAACUAUGCACGUCUUGACGGUACCUAAGCAGAAAGCCACGGCUAACUACGU